rnacentral:rRNA from 1 species
UACGUAGGGUGCAAGCGUUAAUCGGAAUUACUGGGCGUAAAGCGUGCGCAGGCGGUGAUGUAAGACAGAUGUGAAAUCCCCGGGCUCAACCUGGGAACUGCAUUUGUGACUGCAUCGCUGGAGUGCGGCAGAGGGGGAUGGAAUUCCGCGUGUAGCAGUGAAAUGCGUAGAUAGUGCGGAGGAACACCGAUGGCGAAGGCAAUCCCCUGGGCCUGCACUGACGCUCAUGCACGAAAGCGUGGGGAGCAAACAGG